rnacentral:lncRNA from 1 species
UCCCAUUUGAGACAUUCAUGGAUUUUCUUGGUGGUAUUGUCUUCUGGCAGGGGUCUCCUGGCAGCAGUAUUAGCAGAAAGAGCUUGAACUGAAACGCAGUGAAAAAAAGAAUCUCUUUUGAAGUCUUUAUUUCUGGAGAAAUGGGCAGAUCUGAUUUUUGAAAAUGGAUUAGAAGCAGCCUAGGCAACAAAGUGGAGGACCUAAAGUAGCGCAGAGCCUGGAGACCAGCUGUUCUCAUAGCAACCUGGCAGAACAGGCAGUCAGAAAAACACAGGAGAAGCUCUCCUUGGAUGAAGCUUUCCCAGCAGGCUCCCUUUCGCUCGGCUCCCAGCAGAUGAUGCUGCAGCUGCUCAGCUUUGCAGUUUGUCUGCCUGGAACCUCAAGAGAACUUUUACACCUGCUUUAUUUUUAACACCUCUUUCUCGGAACCAGAAUGGCUGAGGAUGUAUUGGGGCUUUGGUGUUGGCUUGCAGUACCCUUGCUCACUUUUCAGCUGAUGCAGCAUCUGAGCAAUACUUUAUAUCCCUCUAUUU